UACGUAGGCAGCGAGCGUUGUUCGGAGUUACUGGGCGUAAAGGGUGUGUAGGCGGUUCUCUAAGUUUGGUGUGAAAUCUCCCGGCUCAACCGGGAGGGUGCGCCGAAAACUGGAGGGCUAGAGUGCGGGAUGGGAGAGUGGAAUUCCUGGUGUAGCGGUGAAAUGCGUAGAUAUCAGGAGGAACACCGGUGGUGCAGACGGCUCUCUGGACCGCGACUGACGCUGAAACACGAAAGCGUGGGUAGCAAACAGG
rnacentral:rRNA from 1 species